rnacentral:rRNA from 1 species
GGGCCCGCACAAGCGGUGGAGCAUGUGGUUUAAUUCGAUGAUACGCGAGGAACCUUACCAGGGCUUAAAUGUAAGUUGCAUUAGUUAGAGAUAGCUAUUUCUUCGGACCACUUACAAGGUGCUGCAUGGUUGUCGUCAGCUCGUGCCGUGAGGUGUCAGGUUAAGUCCUAUAACGAGCGCAACCCCUGUUGUUAGUUGCCAGCGAGUAAUGUCGGGAACUCUAACAAGACUGCCGGUGCAAACCGUGAGGAAGGUGGGGAUGACGUCAAAUCAUCACGGCCCUUACGUCCUGGCCACACACGUGCUACAAUGGCCGGUACAGAGAGCAGCCACUACGCGAGUAGGAGCG